GACGAACGCUGGCGGCGUGCUUAACACAUGCAAGUCGAACGGAAAGGCCCUGCUUUUGUGGGGUGCUCGAGUGGCGAACGGGUGAGUAACACGUGAGUAACCUGCCCUUGACUUUGGGAUAACUUCAGGAAACUGGGGCUAAUACCGGAUAGGAGCUCCUGCUGCAUGGUGGGGGUUGGAAAGUUUCGGCGGUUGGGGAUGGACUCGCGGCUUAUCAGCUUGUUGGUGGGGUAGUGGCUUACCAAGGCUUUGACGGGUAGCCGGCCUGAGAGGGUGACCGGACACAUUGGGACUGAGAUACGGACCAGAGUGCUACGGGAGGCAGCAGUGGGGAAUAUUGCACAAUGAGCGGAAGCCUGAUGCAGAAACGCCGCGGGCGGGAUGAAGGCCUUCGGGUUAUAAACAGAUUUCGCCUGUGACGAAGCGUGAGUGACGGUAAUGGGUAAAGAAGCACCGGCUAACUACGUG
rnacentral:rRNA from 1 species